CUGAGAACUGCGUCCUUCCGCUGCUGUUUACUCAGAAUCCUCCUGGAUCGAGGACUGAGACUGAGCAGUUAUUACACCAAUGUGAAUCAGUGAGCCCGUGGACACUGGUCUUUCUCUUCCGUCCCCACUGCCGCAGCCACCCUUAGUCCCAGUCUGAAUCACGGGAGCAGUCUCCUGGCCGCCCUCCCUGCAGCACUGAGUCCCCUGGGACCCGUUUCUUCACGCUGAGGGCCGUCGUGCGUUCGCAGAAAGGUGACGGGCCAGGGCUACCUGCGCCCGAGUCCGGGGCUCGACUGGUCCAGAGGAAGUUGUGACCAGAGAGGGAACCUUUUCAAAAAUAUGCACAAAAGCUACUGUGGGCUGUCACACGGGUUCUGGCCCCAUGAAGUCAGUCCACUCCAAACUCUUGAAAGCCCCUCAGGUUGUCCACAGAUUAAAAUCCAAAUUUCUGUCUCGUUUAUGACGCCUUCUAUGAUCUAGCCUCUCCUUUAUUCCUCUGCCUUAUCACUUUGCUGAGGGUUUUGCUUAUGCUCUGCUCGGUUCUCAACCUCAACCCAGCUCCUGUGUCCCUCCAGGCCCCGUGGGACAGAACAAGGGCCCCUCCCCCUCCUGGCCCACCCCUCCCCCAACUCCUACCGUGGUAACAGCAAACAUUAAGGGUGUGGCGGGCUGAGCGUUUUACCUUCAAUCUGGCAGUUAAUCUGAACAACAACCCUGUGGGGUACGAAGCUUUAUUCCCUUUUACAGACAGGGAAGUUGAGGCACCGAGGUUUAAAAGUAACUUGGACAGAGUCAGGUGGGAAAUAGUGGUGGAGCCCUGGACUGAGACAGGUCUGUCUUCAGAGUCCACGUUCUUAGUCACUCCUCCGGUCUUCACUGAAACGUCAUUUUUCCAGGAAGCAGCCCUGGCCCCUCAGUUCUAGGUGAAAUGCCUUUCACGUUCCUGCCUCAGGAUCCUGGACUCACCCCAUCACAUCAUCCUUGCUGGUUUCUUUAUUAGUCAUCUGACCAGAAUGUAAACUCGAUGAAGAAAGGGGAACCUCUGUGGUUCAAGGGCGUCAUUAGUGUGGUGGCAUUUACGCCGUUUUGCCUGUGACUCACAUUAAGGAAUACACGCAGUAACACGUCCAGAUGACUAUUAAUAGCUAAAGGUUUCAGGAAAGAAGUAUUGGCUAUGGCACAAUGAACUCUGGUAUUUUCUACACAGUUCUUUUUUUAAAUGCUGCUAGAGACACACAAUUUAUGUCAACUAUUCAUUAAUGACUGAAAACAAAGCUUGAAAAGCACCAACCCGGCUCAUUGCCUGGAGCAAAGUUCUUUGCCUGCAUCAUAAACUCAUUCAUUCAUUCUUAAAUCACACAGGCAUGCAUUUUUCAUACUCAUCUGUACUAUAAUAAGUCAAAGUAUUCAGAAAGAAUGAGUACAUUAGUUUUCAAGAUUGUAUUGAUUUCUGUUCUUUUUUCUUCUCCCUUAUAACUGUAAACUCUGCCACUAGUUUGGAAACAGCAAAGAUAAACUUGGAAUUCCUAGAUCUCGAAAGAGGUCAAAGACGUUGAUUCUAAGAGUAAAGGCCACGGACAGCAUCUCUUCUGUUGUCUCCUGACCCUCUUAGGCAAGAACACUUCUAAGAAUUUGUUAUCUAAGAACGGGAGACUUAAACAUUGUUACCCAAGGCAAUAAAAAUGACUCCGCCAAUUCUUAUCAACUGCAAAUUUGUACCCUUGGAGGAAAGAGAGAACUAUUCCCUGUGUUCUUUGUUCUAGGCCCAGACGUGAAGGACAGUCUUUAGAUAAGAAAGACAAUUUAGACAAUUAAAGAAUUAAUAUUUUAUUUUCCUAACUUUUGGAGAAAACAAAAAGACUCACAAAUCUGUUAUCCAGGAGAGAAA